AGGUGCGAUCAUAUCAGCACUAAUGCACUAGAUUCCAUCGGAACUCUGAAGUUAAGCGUGCUUGGGCGAGAAUAAUACUAAGAUGGGCUUUGUCAUAGGACUUUCACAGACACUGG
rfam:Cephalotus follicularis DNA, scaffold: scaffold2452, isolate: St1.